CUAAGCAUAUCAAUAAGCGGAGGAAAAGAAACCAACAGGGAUUGCCCCAGUAACGGCGAGUGAAGCGGCAACAGCUCAAAUUUGAAAUCUGGCCCCAGGCCCGAGUUGUAAUUUGCAGAGGAUGCUUUUGGCGCGGUGCCUUCCGAGUUCCCUGGAACGGGACGCCAUAGAGGGUGAGAGCCCCGUACGGUUGGACACCAAGCCUUUGUAAAGCUCCUUCGACGAGUCGAGUAGUUUGGGAAUGCUGCUCUAAAUGGGAGGUACAUUUCUUCUAAAGCUAAAUAUUGGCCAGAGACCGAUAGCGCACAAGUAGAGUGAUCGAAAGAUGAAAAGCACUUUGAAAAGAGGGUUAAACAGCACGUGAAAUUGUUAAAAGGGAAGCGCUUGUGACCAGACUUGCGUCCGGUGAAUCACCCAGCUCUCGCGGCUGGGGCACUUCGCCGGCACAGGCCAGCAUCAGCUUGCCGUCGGGGACAAAAGCUUCAGGAACGUGGCUCCUCUCGGGGAGUGUUAUAGCCUGUUGCAUAAUACCCUUCGGCGGGCUGAGGUACGCGCUCCGCAAGGAUGCUGGCGUAAUGGUCAUCAGCGACCCGUCUUGAAACACGGACCAAGGAGUCAACCUUAUGUGCGAGUGUUUGGGUGUCAAACCCCUACGCGUAAUGAAAGUGAACGCAGGUGAGAGCUUCGGCGCAUCAUCGACCGAUCCUGAUGUUCUCGGAUGGAUUUGAGUAAGAGCAUAUAGGGUUGGACCCGAAAGAAGGUGAACUAUGCGUGUGUAGGGUGAAGCCAGAGGAAACUCUGGUGGAGGCUCGCAGCGGUUCCGACGUGCAAAUCGAUCGUCAAACAUGCGCAUGGGGGCGAAAGACUAAUCGAACCUUCUAGUAGCUGGUUUCCGCGA
rnacentral:rRNA from 1 species